GACGAACGCUGGCGGCGUGCUUAACACAUGCAAGUCGAACGGAAAGGCCCUUUUGGGGGUACUCGAGUGGCUAACGGGCGAGUAACACGUGAGUAACCUGCCCUCGACUUCGGGAUAACUUCAGGAAACUGGGGCUAAUACCGGAUAGGAAUCCUUGCUGCAUGGUGGGGGUUGGAAAGCUUCGGCGGUUGUGGAUGGACUUGCGGCUUAUCAGCUUGUUGGUAGGGUAGUGGCUUACCAAGGCUGUGACGGGUGGCGGGCCUGAGAGGGGGACCGGUCACAUUGGGAAUGCGAUACGGCCCAGAAGCCGAAGGGAAGCAGCGGUGGGGAAUAUUGCACAAUGGGCGGAAGCCUGAUGCAGCAACGCCGGGUGCGGGAUGACGGCCUUCGGGUGGUAAACCGCAUUGAGCAGGGGCGAAGCUUGUGGUGACGGUACCUGCAGAAGAAGCACCGGCUAACUACGUG
rnacentral:rRNA from 1 species